rnacentral:misc_RNA from 1 species
GAUGAAGAACGUAGCGAAACGCGAUAGGUAAUGUGAAUUGCAGAAUUCCGUGAAUCAUCGAAUCUUUGAACGCACAUUGCGCCUUCUGGUAUUCCGGUAGGCAUGUCUGUCUGAGCGUCAGCAAACACCCUCAGCUUGAGUAUUUUUGUGCUCUUGCUGGUCUUGGGCUUGGAAGCUGGGUCUAACCCCCCGCGCCUGCCCUAAACUUGCUGCACGACCGCUGGCUUCGGCUGGGUCAAUGGAGUGGUGUCACAAUCUUCCAGAAGACUUUCAACUGUAGCGCGGUGGCGUUAAACCUGCUGUCCGAAAGGACCGAAGUUUUGACCUCAGAUCAGAUAAGGAUACCCGCUGAACUUAAGCAUAUCAAUAAGCGGAGGA